AUUAGGAAUCUUGCACAAUGGGGGCAACCCUGAUGCAGCGACACAGUGUGGAGGAUGAAGGUCUUCGGAUUGUAAACUCCUUUUAUAUGGGACGAAUAAAUGACGGUACCAUAUGAAUAAGCACCUGCUAACUACGUGCCAGAAGCAUCGGUGAUGCGUAGGGUGCAAACGUUAUCCGGAUUUAUUGGGCGUAUAGAGAAGCGUAGGUGUUCCUGUAAGUCUUUAGUUAAAUACCACGGCUCAACCGUGGAAAAGCUUUGGAAACUACAGGAAUUGAGACAGGAAGAGGUGAAUGGAAUUCCCAGUGGAGCGGUGAAAUGCGUAGAUAUUAGGAAGAACACCAGUGGCGAAGGCGACUUUCUGGACGAAAACUGACGCUGAGGCGCGAAAGCCAGGGGAGCGAACGGGAUUAGAUACCCUAGUAGUCC
rnacentral:rRNA from 1 species